AGCCGCCGCGGUAAUACCAGCUCCCCGAGUGGUGGGGACGAUUAUUGGGCCUAAAGCGCCCGUAGCCGGCCUGGUAAGUUUCCCGUUAAAUCUGGCGAUCCAAUCGUCAGGCUGCGGGAAAUACUGCCGGGCUAGGGAGCGGGAGAGGCCGGCGGUACUCUUGGGGUAGGGGUGAAAUCCUAUAAUCCCAGGAGGACCACCAGUGGCGAAGGCGGCCGGCUAGAACGCGUCCGACGGUGAGGGGCGAAAGCUGGGGGAGCGAACCGGAUUAGAUACCCGGGUAGUCCCAGCUGUAAACGAUGCGGGCUAAGUGUUGGAAUGGCCUUAGAGCCAUUCCAGUGCUGCAGGGAAGCCGUUAAGCCCGCCGCCUGGGGAGUACGGCCGCAAGGCUGAAACUUAAAGGAAUUGGCGGGGGAGCACCACAAGGGGUGAAGCUUGCGGUUUAAUUGGAGUCAACGCCGGGAAUCUCACCGGGGGUGACAGCUGGAUGAAGGCCAGAUUAAAGGUCUUGCCAGACUAGCUGAGAGGAGGUGCAUGGCCGUCGCCAGUUCGUGCCGUGAGGUAUCCCGUUAAGUCGGGUAACGAGCGAGAUCCACGCCCCUAGUUGCCAGCGGGUCCUUGGGACGCCGGGCACUCUAGGGGGACCGCCACCGAUAAGGUGGAGGAAGGGUGUGGGCCACGGCAGGUCAGUAUGCCCCGGGAUCCCCCGGGCCACACGUGAGCUGCAAUGGCGGGGACAAUGGGCUCCGACCCCCGAAAGGGGAAGGUAAUCCCCAAACCCCGCCUCAGUUGGGAUCGAGGGCUGGAACUCGUCCUCGUGAACAUGGAAUCCCUAGUAAUCGCGUGUCAUCAGCGCGCGGUGAAUACGUCCCUGCUCCUUGCACACACCGCCCGU
rnacentral:rRNA from 1 species